rnacentral:tRNA from 3 species
GGAGGAGUACCCAAGUCCGGCUGAAGGGGACGGUCUCGAAAACCGUUAGGAGCUUUACGGCUCGCGAGGGUUCGAAUCCCUCCUCCUCCG